rnacentral:lncRNA from 1 species
CAGUAACAAUACAGAAGGUCAAAGGAAAUAUGCUGCAGAGAUCUACAGCAAGCAACUAUAUAUUAUAGAAAAUCAAUAUAGAAGAAAAUGGCUGUAGGAAGAGACAACAAAAAUAAAUUUAACAUAUUUUUUUCUGUUGUUUUAGUGAUUGGGGAGAAAUUCACAACCAGAGGAUUUUGUCUUCUCAUCUUGUAACCCAGAGGAUGAGAAGAUUCAAUAUCCACUUCUUUCUCUAAAAUCACCACAGUUCAAUUUCUACCAAAGCUUCAGGAAUUCCCACAUCCCUAUUAGAAGUGGAAGUAUCCAGGCUCAUCUAAAGUCUUUUUCUUUAGGCUGCAUCUGUGUAAAUACAGUCACAGACUAGACCUGUGUGUUGGUACCAGUUGGUCUGCUGCAGAUUGUCUCGCUGCUGCUCCCAACUGCACGCAAGGCUUCAGUAUUAGUGUAAGGCCUUUAGCUCUCGGACAAUCCUUCUCUCAAUUAUAUUUGAUUUUAUUAACAAUCAUAUUGAAUUAUAU